CUGGGGAGGAGAAAGAUGCUCUGAGAUCUCCCUGAUAUGAUGAGAUAAAAAGAGGGGAAAUCAACAUGGUGGAGGAGAGUGAGAUAGAGGAGUUGUUCUCAGAUUCGAGUCUACAUUGGUGUUCACCUCUGUUUACCUGCUGGACAUGGAGCAGGUUGGCCCUCUUUCAUAAACCUACCCUGAAGACUCAGAGCACCAUGGCCAAGUGCAUACUUAGAAGGAAACACUAGGUCUUAGUGCCUUUAGUGGCUGACUGGCACCCUCCCACAAGAAGAGAAUAAAAGAUACAUCCACUUCCUAAUCCUCCUCAGAACCUGUGACUGUGACCUCACUUGGGUCUUUGUAGAUGUUAUUAAACUAGGGUCUCAAGAUGAGGUCAUCCUGGAUUAUUCUGUCCCUCAAUCUAAGAACUGCUGCCCUUCUGAGGGACACACAGAGGAGAGGCCAUAGAGAUUGGAAUGAUGAGGCCACAAAAAAUGCCACCAGCCACCAGGAGCUGGGAAAGGCCAGAAAGCAUUCUUCCCAGGAGUCUCCAGAGGGAUCACUGCUCUGCCAGUGCCUGGAGUCCACACUUCUGGCACUGGAACUGGGAGAGAUUCAACUUCUGCUCUUUUAAGUCACCAAGAUUACAGCAAUUUGCUAAGGCAGCCUGGGAAAACCACCACAUGGUGAAAGGGGGUUCCUGGCUCAGGCACAGUGAGCUAGUGUGAGUUAGGAUGCAGGACCCGCAACAGCUUAAAGGAGAUGGAUGCUUAUUGCUGUCUCACACCACAGGCUGACCCUAAGCGGUGAGGGCUGAGAGGGUGUCACGACCUGAGGUUCCAUGAUUACCUAGAAUGAUGAUCUUGUCUGUAAGGGUGACUGAUUUAAUACUGCAACCUGCCCCUCCCUUACCCCUGCACUUUCUAUGCUCACUUUGCUGUUCCCAACUCUUUUUCUUUUUCCUGAAACCACAUCCCUUAACACACUAUAUGUCGUGGCUUCUAUCUAGAUGUCCCCCAAAAGCUUCAUGCCUCCAGAGAUGGGGCUUUUAGAAGGUGAUUUGUUUAUGGGGCAGCAUAGCUGACUUGCUAGGACUUGCUAGGAGGUUGGAUCUGAUCAGAAGAGGUGGUCCCUGGGGGUGCGACCUAGAAGUUUGUCUCUUCCUGUCUCCUCCCUCCACUCUCUCUGCUUCCUGUCUGCCCCACCAUCCUGCCUUGGAGUCGGCCAAUUACAUACUGAAAUGUGAGCCAAAAUAAUCCUCUCCUGCC
ensembl:lncRNA